CACGCCGGGCCGUGUCACCGCUCACACCCUCGCACACGCCGGGUCCUGUCACUCCCCGCGGCCGGUGGCAACACCUGCCCCGGGGCGGGGAACGACGCACCGCCGGCCCGCGGGGGGACAGCACCGGCCCGGGGGGACACCGGCAGGUCCCCGAAACGCCCGAGGGCGGGAAGACACCCCAUAUUUACCUCAUGAUUUUGUUGGCGGCAGCCAGGAGCCCUCUCCGGAGCGGCAGCCGAGGAGGCGGUCGUCAUCGGGAGGGCCAGCGGCCUGCGGCGCGCCCAGGGGACCUGGCUCGGGUUUGGGGGAGACUUGUGGGGGGCUGCUUGCCCCCCAAAUUAUGGAGGAGAGGCGGCAGCAGCUCCUUCUCUGGGAAAUCUUUUCUGGCGCCCAGAUUUCAGUCGUACGGACCCUCGUGAGACGGGGGAUGCUUUUCUGGGCAGCUGAAGCAAGGAAGCGCAGGGCCAAAAUCCGUGAUCCUCAGCAGCGACCUUGUGUCUAAUGAGUCGGAGGCUCACAAGGGGAGCGAGGAGUCGCGGAGGAAGAGCGAAAAGGAUGGAGGUCCUUACCAGACCGCAGUGCGUAUCAGUCUCC